AUCUGGGGCAGGAGCGGGGGAACCACGUUCCUCCGGGCGUCGCCUCCUUCGAUGCCCUUGGGGUGAAGCCGAAUACGCACGGGGCGUUCGGCCGGGCUCCCAGCCCGAACCCGACAGCUCACCUCGCA
rnacentral:misc_RNA from 1 species